rnacentral:siRNA from 1 species
AAACAACGAGUCCUGAGUUGGUC